UUAAAGGCAAUGAAUGUGUACAGUAAUUCUUAAAUCACUUUCAGAGAGAGGAAGUCAUCGGCUGUAAGCUUCCUUAAGACAGAUUAAGAUAUGAAUUUUCGCACAGGAGCUUCAUGAAUGAAAGAUUUAUAUUUGUUUAGUUCAUGACGGAGGCUGCACGUUAAGCAGAAAAUGAGAGCCUGUAUGAAAGAUACAGGAAUCAGGGUGGUAACGCGGAUUAAUUCGUCCCUUGC
rnacentral:ncRNA from 1 species